rnacentral:tRNA from 1 species
AGAAUGGCUGAGUAAGCAUUAGACUGUAAAUCUAAAGACAGAGGAAAUCCUCUUUUUACCA